rnacentral:tRNA from 1 species
GAACGCAUAGCUUAGUAGUCAGAGCGCCUGGCCGGUUUCCAGGAGGCACGGGUUCGAAUCCCGCUACGUUCA